UUAAGUACAUCUCGUGAUCGUAUCGUCUGCAUUCAUUCAUUCAUCAUGAAUUCGUCAUUUCCUAUGUGAGUAUUUCGGUAUGUUUUUUUUUUACUUCUGGAAACACAAUGACAUUAUUACGUUAUAAUAUUGUUAUUAAUCGCAAUUAAUUUGGUUUGACUGUUAUUUUCCUAUGUUUUUUUUGUUUGUUUAACAGCAAUAACGGCGCCUCCUCUCCCACAACUAUGAAGUAUCCGUAAGUACUUUUUCUUUCAUUUUCUUAGGUAAUUUUAUUAUUUUAUGUCAACAAAAGAAUUUUAAAUUUUAUUACGAGUCGUGUUCAUCUUUUCCCCUUAUUUUUCAUUUUAAUUUCAUUUGUAGUCUCUAGAGCAGCACUCCUGUAGGUCGUCCGGGAGUGAUGACGCUCAAGCGGCGUCUCUCCUACCAGGGAGAACUACCUUCCCCCGUGGAGAGAAAGGGAGACACGCAGACUCCCAACUCGUCUCCGAAGUCGCCCUCCUGGGUGGAUAGCGUAGAGGCGAGUUCGCCCAAAAGGGCAAGAAAAUGUCUGUUUUUGGGGGGAGAGACCCCGACAACGGAGAAAAACGGUGACACCACUCAGUCGACUCGGAACUCGC